AGCAGCCGCGGUAAUUCCAGCUCCAAUAGCGUAUAUCAAAGUUGCUGCGGUUAAAAAGCUCGUAGUUGAAUUUCGGGACCGAUAUAUCGGUCGUGCCUCGGUACGUACUGGUAUUUUCGGUUUCUCCCUUCUGAUGAACCUUGAUGUCAUUAAUUUGGUGUCUUGGGGAAUCAGGACUGUUACUUUGAAAAAAUUAGAGUGUUUAAAGCAGGCUCACGCUUGAAUACAUUAGCAUGGAAUAAUGAAAUAGGACGUUUGAUUCUAUUUUGUUGGUUUCUAGGAUCGACGUAAUGAUUAAUAGGGAUAGUUGGGGGCAUUAGUAUUCAAUUGUCAGAGGUGAAAUUCUUGGAUUUAUUGAAGACUAACUACUGCGAAAGCAUUUGCCAAGGAUGUUUUCAUUAAUCAAGAACGAAAGUUAGGGGAUCGAAGACGAUCAGAUACCGUCGUAGUCUUAACCAUAAACUAUGCCGACUAGGGAUCGGAUGAUGUUAAUUUUUUAAUGACUCAUUCGGCGCCUUAC
rnacentral:rRNA from 1 species